rnacentral:lncRNA from 1 species
CAACUGAUGUAAAAAUGCCAUCGUCCCACAAACAAGGUGCAUUGUUUCCACCUAUUUGCAUCCUAUCUCAAUAUCUUAGCUGGCAAUCAUGAGCAAGCACCACGUGAAUAGGAUUAAAAAAGUUAGAACAAAUAAAAGUUACAUGGCCCUUGCUAAACUUAACAUCGUUCGGCUAUAAAUACACUAAGUUUGGAGGCAU